ACAAAGGCUUUUAUAAAAGCCAUUAUCUAUUCAUUAUAAAAUAUUU
rfam:Phaseolus vulgaris cultivar G19833 chromosome 2, whole genome shotgun sequence.